CCAAUGGCAGAGUUAUAAAUAUACUCAUUAUUCAAGGAUACUAUGGUCAUUAUACAUAAUUGAUUUUUAAGCAAACCACAUGUGCCUCUUCCAUAUUCUUCCGGAACGUUCUUCCUCUUUCCUCAUUUUUGCAUAUUAUUAAGAGAUUAGGAAUCAAGCAAAUGAAAAUUGCUAGGAUCUUCUCAAACCCGUUCUUCUUCUUUUUACUCAAACCGGAAAAAGUAGACGCAAGUCUCUGCUAUUUUCAUCUUUUUAGCAGGCUAUCGCCAUUUUUAGGAGGUCGAUGUUUCCUCUAAAUAAGCGGCUCGUAUUGUUAUUCUUCAUUCUAGAAUUAACUGGACAAGUAUUUUUGGUUGCCAACUCUUUGUUGUUGGUCUUGACUGCACAAAUUCGACUUAUGUUGCUGCUUUGCAACCUGGAACAAUAUCAGUCUUUACGUUCAUACUUGCUUUACUCAUGGGGUCAGUAAACAUUCAAUUCCUUUCAUCUCUCGAUUUUGUAUCCUUGUUCCCAUCACUCUUAUAUCUUGCAUGACAUGUGAGUUCGAGUGAAUCUUUUGUUGCUAAACUUUGUGAGAUGUGAAAGAUCAAGUUCUAUCAAGUAUCAAAUGUUGUAUUUUAAUACCAAAAAUGUUGUGCUUUGAAUUGGAGCAACCACAAGUACUUUAUUUUUGUGCAAAGAAUGAGAGUCAUUGCAAUCAAUUUGAGGAUGUAUAUCCUUCAAAUUGAUACAAUAUGACCUGAGAUAAGUCACUAUUUUUUGGUGAAAUGGACCUUCUAAGGUACAAAAUUGCAAACUCACUUCUGGAACAAAUUAAAUCCGAGAUGGAGGAGGUAAUUCAUCUAAUUCCAAAAAAAUGUUAGCUCAUACUAUUUCAAUUUGGCUUCCUUUUUAUUGAAAAGUAAAAUUAUAUUGAUAUCCCAAUGACCUCCCAGCUAGAUUAAGGACCAACUAACUACAAAAUUCUCAACCCAAUCUCCAUCCAUCAACACCUAGGGAUGUGAGGUGGCAGAAUGGGAUGGUAGAGCAGGGUGGGGUGAGGUAAAACUUAGGGGGCAGAGAAAUAUCUAAGAAAACAUCAUAUGAACCAAAACCAAACUUCUCAACAUAAUACAAAACAUUGUAUGAACGUACUGGAAGUCUCAAAUGAAGGAAUGGGGUGCUAAUACUUAAAACGAGGGGUUGGGUUGUUACAUAUAGUUUCUCUUAUGAAGAGCUUUAGUUUUUUCUGCUUC